UACAGAGGUCCCAAGCGUUGUUCGGAUUCACUGGGCGUAAAGGGUGUGUAGGUGGUGAGGUAAGUCCGAUGUGAAAGCUCCGAGCUCAACUCGGAAAUUGCAUUAGAAACUACCUUGCUAGAGGGUUGGAGGGGGGACUGGAAUUCUCGGUGUAGCAGUGAAAUGCGUAGAUAUCGAGAGGAACACCAGUGGCGAAGGCGAGUCCCUGGACAACUCCUGACACUGAGGCACGAAAGCUAGGGGAGCAAACAGG
rnacentral:rRNA from 1 species